UUUUGGAAAGAAAUUCAGUGACUUGUAAUAUACUUGUCAAACGUAAAUUACAGAAUAAGCUUUACUUAUGAGUACUCUGAACAUGAACCAAAAUCGUGAUGUAAAUGCACCGCGUAGAAAGAAAAGGCUAAUUUCAGCACAUCUGAAAAUCGUGUGCUUGUGUCAAGAAAUUCUUGAUCCAUUUGGAAUCUAAAAUAGGUUACCUAUAUCCUUCAAGAAAACAUAUGUAGGUACGGUUGGUAAUUUCGCAAAUUUUUAAAACGUCACCAGUUUACUGGAAAUUUGACGCAGUAUCCUGGGGUUAUGUUGAUAACUGCAGAAAAUCUACCCAAUAACUUUAUCUAGAACUUAUCCUGCCGAUAAUAUUUAAA